UAAGGCGCGCGAGAGGCCACCACGUCGCGGAGGGAGAUGUUGUUAUUUUUUGCUGUUGUGCGUCCCUGACGUCACAUCCACCUGCUGGGUAAACAACAGGGCUCGCAGCAAAAAAAAAAAAAAUCGCAAUUGCAAAAGAGGGGGAUGGGGGCGCAGGCUGGAGGAGGGGAGGUGUGGGGCGACCCGGCUGGAUGGAGAGAAGGGAGAGGCCGAGCCCCAAGACCAGGGAGGAAGGAGGCCAGAGCAGUCCCUGGCAAGAGAAGAAUCUGGCAGGAAAGACCUGGAAAAUAAGGGGUUGGGGGGCGGGGAGCUCCUCGGAAGAUGGGAAAGGGGGACUCCUGCAGACCCCGGAGAGAUGGAGAGCCUGAGUGUGAACUCCAGGGACCGAGAUGAGAGCGCGAUGGCUCUUCACUGGUCUCUGAGCUGCUCGUACCGAGGGAAGGGGAGAGGCGAGGCGGGGAGGCGAGUUUCCUCAGUUAAAAGUGAAAGUGUUUGCCCUCAGUGACAGCUGAGGCUCGGGGAGGUCGGCGGCGACCUGGGCCCCUCUCUCUUCGCCGGUCCUCCCUCGGUCUCUCCUCUUUCUUUCUGCACUUUGUCCAAUGAAAGAAGGCGAGUUCGGGAGGUGAAAGUUCAGCAGAAGGACAAACCCCUGUUUGCAGGGAAACAGAAACCCCGCCAGCGAGGGGUUUUUCCUGGUAUCGCGGCAUCGGGAGAGAGUGCACGGCGGGGCGAGCUUCCCCCCUUCCCUGUCAGUCACUGCAGGAAUGCACGGUCGGGCCCACUGGGGGGAAGCGGCUGCUCCGGGAACUGCGUUCCUGCCACGGCUCCUCGUAGGAAAACACCCGGGGGCUGGCAUGUCAAUCAGUUGUUUAACACAAACUACCUGCUCGCCCACAGAUCAGUCACGUGCAAAAGCUUUCCCAAUGGUGCAAAGAUUCAUCACCCCGGAUGCUGCCAAACUCCCAAGCCAGCACGUGCAGGUUCUAGCUGGAUGGUUUACACCAGGCCAGUUCUUCAUCAAAAUGCCUCAGGAGCCAACCCUCUGAAUUCCUACAAAGUGCUUCCCGCAGGAGAGCGAGACUUGCUGUCCCUUUGGUCUUGACACUAGCACAGUUGUAGAUAACAAAUAUCCUGAAAAGGAUAUUAUACAUUCUUUUGGGUGGUGUACUUUUACAAAUACGGCUAUACAUUCAUUGACAGGAGAUUCAAAUCUCCGUGUCAAUGACAGGCUACCACUUACCACUUUUUAAAAUUGUAUCUGCUUUGCAAGUAAAAAAAAUAAAAUUAUAACCAAGCCAUUCACUGGUGCUGUAGAAUCAGGCACGAGGGGCUGCGCUCAGCUAGUUCCAGCACAGCAGCAUCCAUGCAUGAGGCUCCGGCGCCAGGCUCCAGUCUACCCAGACAAAACCAUCCACCCGAUCUUCUAGGCUAGAAUCUGGAUAGAUAAAACACAUUUUAGUGUUGCGUUUCCUAGCUUCCCAGAGCUCGGUGUUCCUGUUGUCUUUGUCGAGACAUUAACACAUGUUCCCCUGUGUUCUAGACCAUAGAGUGGGCUUUUAGAGAUGCACAGAUAAAUAAAACUCCUGCCAGGAGCACUGCAGCAGCCUACAGCUGUCAAUCAUAACAUCUAAUAUUUAUUGAACGCUUUCUAUGGCCUAGGCACUGAUCUAAAAGCUUUAUGUCAACUCGCUUAAAACUCUCCGCACCCCUUCAACAGCACUGGAAAUUCCACAUUCUGAAUUCACAUGGCAUUAUUCAAAAAAAUCUACAUAGUAGCCAUUCUAUUGGGAAAUUUUUGUUUUUAAUUUCUGUGAUGUUUCUGCCAAAUAUAACUUGUUUAUGAUCUAUUGCCUGGUUGUAGAGACUGUCUCAGGGGAAUAGCAAUUUAUUUAGACGUGACACAUCUAUUAAUUGUCGGUGAGGUAUCAUCCUGAUCUUGUUUUUCAGAUAAGCCACGUGGGUUGUUGUUGUUUUUUAAUCAUUAUUGCCAUACUAAAAAGAUUCUUAGAUUGCCACUGAUCUCAGUCUGCAUUUUAACUGCCUUAAAUUCUACAUUCAUUUGCAAGUGGAGGCCAGAGUCAUGUUGGCAACAAGUUUUUAGACAAAAGGAAAUCCUGGCUGUAAAUCCCAUAAUAUAUGGCACUCUGCUUCAUAUGGGAUGGUCUAAUGCGGAGACUUAUUAAGGAACAGCUAUAGCCCGCUGGGGCUCCCGUUCCAGGGAACUUACUGCAGCUUAACGUCUGGCUCAUUGUCGACACCGUCACGUUACAUUCGUAAGGAGCAGAUUUUAAUUUCUUUAUCAGUAAUCAACUGGAAGUUUCUUUUUGUUAAA
ensembl:lincRNA